rnacentral:rRNA from 1 species
AGAGUUUGAUCAUGGCUCAGGACGAACGCUGGCGGCGUGCUUAACACAUGCAAGUCGAACGGAAAGGCCCCUUCGGGGGUACUCGAGUGGCGAACGGGUGAGUAACACGUGGGUGAUCUGCCCUGCACUUUGGGAUAAGCCUGGGAAACUGGGUCUAAUACCGAAUAGGACCGCAUGCUUCAUGGUGUGUGGUGGAAAGCUUUUGCGGUGUGGGAUGGGCCCGCGGCCUAUCAGCUUGUUGGUGGGGUAAUGGCCUACCAAGGCGACGACGGGUAGCCGGCCUGAGAGGGUGUCCGGCCACACUGGGACUGAGAUACGGCCCAGACUCCUACGGGAGGCAGCAGUGGGGAAUAUUGCACAAUGGGCGCAAGCCUGAUGCAGCGACGCCGCGUGGGGGAUGACGGCCUUCGGGUUGUAAACCUCUUUCAGUAUCGGCGAAGCUCCAGGAUUUUUCUUGGGGUGACGGUAGGUACAGAAGAAGCACCGGCCAACUACGUGCCAGCAGCCGUGGUAAUACGUAGGGUGCGAGCGUUGUCCGGAAUUACUGGGCGUAAAGAGCUCGUAGGUGGUUUGUCACGUUGUCUGUGAAAACUCACAGCUUAACUGUGGGCGUGCGGGCGAUACGGGCAGACUGGAGUACUGUAGGGGAGACUGGAAUUCCUGGUGUAGCGGUGGAAUGCGCAGAUAUCAGGAGGAACACCGGUGGCGAAGGCGGGUCUCCGGGCAGUAACUGACGCUGAGGAGCGAAAGCGUGGGGAGCGAACAGGAUUAGAUACCCUGGUAGUCCAA